UACGUAGGGCGCAAGCGUUGUCCGGAAUUAUUGGGCGUAAAGAGCUCGUAGGCGGCUUGUCACGUCGGGUGUGAAAGCCCGGGGCUCAACCCCGGGUCGGCCGUCGAUACUCUCGUGCUUGAGCACUGUAGAGGCAGGUGGAAUUCCGGGUGUAGCGGUGGAAUGCGUAGAGAUCCGGAAGAACACCGGUGGCGAAGGCGGCCUGCUGGGCAGUAGCUGACACUGAGGCGCGACAGCGUGGGGAGCAAACAGG
rnacentral:rRNA from 1 species